AUUGAACGCUGGCGGCAGGCCUAACACAUGCAAGUCGAACGAGUGGCGGACGGGUGAGUAAUGUCCGGGAAACUGCCCGAUGGAGGGGGAUAACUACUGGAAACGGUAGCUAAUACCGCAUACCAUCGGAUGUCCCCCGAUGGGGUUAGCUAGUAGGUGGGGUAAUGGCUCACCUAGGCGAUGAUCCCUAGCUGGUCUGAGAGGAGGACCAGCCACCCUGGAACUGAGACACGGUCCAGACGCCUACGGGAGGCAGCAGAGGGGAAUAUUGCGCAAUGGGCGCAAGCCUGAUGCAGCCAGGGCGAGUGUAUGAAGAAGGCGUUCGGGUUGUAAAGUACGUUCAGCGAGGGGGCGUUACUCGCAGAAGAAGCACCGGCUAACUCCGUGCCAGCAGCCGCGGUAAUAC
rnacentral:rRNA from 1 species